rnacentral:misc_RNA from 1 species
UGUGGGAGCGGGCUUGCCCGCGAUGGCGGUAUGCCAGUCACCAUAGUUAUUGACUGACAGUCCGCUAUCGCGGGCAAGCCCGCUCCCACA